rnacentral:rRNA from 1 species
CCUACGGGUGGCAGCCGUGAGGACUAUUGGUCAAUGGACGACAGUCUGAACCAGCCAAGUAGCGUGAAGGAUGACUUCCCUAUGGGUUGUACACUUCUUUUAUAUGGGAAUAAAAUGUUCCACGUGUGGGAUUUUGUAUGUACCAUAUGAAUAAGGAUCGUCUAACUCCGUGCCAGCCGCCGCGGUAAUACGGAGGCUACGAGCGUUGUCCGGAUUUAUUGGGUUUAAAGUGAGCGUAGGUGGAUUGUUAAGUCAGAUGUGAAAGUUUGCGGCGCAACCGUAAAAUUGCAGUUGAAACUGGCAGUCUUGAGUACAGUAGAGGUGGGCGGAAUUCGUGGUGUAGCGGUGAAAUGCUUAGAUAUCACGAAGAAGUCCGAUUGCGAAGGCAGCUCACUGGACUGCAACUGACACUGAGGCUCGAAAGUGUGGGUAUCAAACAGGAUUAGAUACCCUUGUAGUC